rnacentral:sRNA from 1 species
CUCGUCUCUUCACUGUUAUUUAAUUAUUUAUUUACCUUGCGGGUUUGUGUUUUGCUCCUUUUGUUUAUUUGUUUUCCCCAUUUGCUUUAGUUCCACGUCAGAUUUCGAUCAGAACCAGCAGCGGAAAAAUCCAGCUCACACACAUACUUAGCUGGUCAUGGAAAAUGAAAAAAAAAUUGGAGAUCUCCUAUCAUUUUGCCAGAAAUUGAAUUUAAGCUUGGAUUUGUGUUCCAAUGAGUUUUCCUCUCUAUACGGUCCGGGAUUUUCAUCAUCCUUGGUUAAUGAACAUCAGGGUUAGGAUUUUGCAAGAAAGGGCGCGCCGUUGACACACUUAUUAUUUGUAUCGGCAACCGAUUGGAAGUUUAUCUCAUAUACCACUCCGAUUUAGUGAAAUUACUCCGCUGGACUCGUUUUGCGGAGAUAUCUCCCGUGGACCGUGAUUGCGACAUUGGGCCGUCAUCUGACAUUGAAACAAGGGGAGUAAUGACAUUGACACGUCGUCGUCGUCAUCACCAUCACCAUCACCAUCACCAUCAUCAUCAUUAUAUGCCUGUUGGGCGGAGCGUUCGGAAUAUUUCUGUAGCCUUGAGAAACAUGUUGCCGUGUAGCGGAACGUAGUGUGCUGUGUAUUGAAAUCAUGGAGCAAUGGGAAUCAAAGUGAAGAUCCUCAUGCACUACGUCAAUAGA